AGGGGUGUAGCUCAAUUGGCAGAGCACCGGUCUCCAAACCCGGGGGUUGCGAGUUCGAGUCCCGCCGCCCCUG
rnacentral:tRNA from 1 species